GUCUUCUUGGUUUUAUAAGAGGUUUGACCUGCCCGGUGAGAAUUAUUUAACGGCCGCGGUACAUUGACCGUGCAAAGGUAGCAUAAUCAUUAGUCUUUUAAUAGGGGGCUGGAAUGAAGGGUUUGACGAAUUAAUAACUGUCUCAUAUAAAAUUAAAUUAAAAUUUAAUUUUUAAGUUAAAAAGCUUAAAUUUUGUUGGAAGACGAGAAGACCCUAUAGAGCUUUAUGGUUAUUAUUUUUAAUUUUUUUUGGUUUAUUAUUAUUUAAUUAUUAAUUUGACCAUUUUGUUGGGGCGACAAAAAAUAUAUAUUUAACUUUUUUAUUUAGUAUACAUUGAUAUAUGAAUAAUUGGAUCCAUUUUUAUUGAUUGUUAGAAUAAGUUACCUUAGGGAUAACAGCGUAAUCUUCUUUUGAAGUUCAAAUUUACAGGAGGGCUUGCGACCUCGAUGUUGGAUUAAGAUAAUAAUUGGGUGCAGUAGCUUGAUUUAUAGGUCUGUUCGACCUUUAAAUUCUUACAUGAUCUGAGUUCAGACCGG
rnacentral:rRNA from 1 species